UACGUAGGGUGCAAGCGUUAAUCGGAAUUACUGGGCGUAAAGCGUGCGCAGGCGGUUAUGUAAGACAGAUGUGAAAUCCCCGGGCUCAACCUGGGAACUGCAUUUGUGACUGCAUAGCUAGAGUACGGUAGAGGGGGGUAGAAUUCCACGUGUAGCAGUGAAAUGCGUAGAGAUGUGGAGGAAUACCGAUGGCGAAGGCAGCCCCCUGGGCCAAUACUGACGCUCAUGCACGAAAGCGUGGGGAGCGAACAGG
rnacentral:rRNA from 1 species